GAAGUUCAGUUGGUAGAGCAUGAGACUCUUAAUCUCAGGAUUGUGGUUUUAAGCCCCACAUUGGGCA